GCUUUGGGCUCUAGCUUGUUUUCAGGACAGAAGGGGUACUCCAGUCUAGUCUGAAUAGUCUUGCCUUCUUGUCCUGUUGAUUUUUUUUUUACAGAUCAUAUACAUCCAUGUAAGAUCACUGUUCAGUUAUGCUGGGGAACUAAACUGGAAGAGGAUGGAUGCUGUAACUGGGUAUGAAGGUGAUGAACAUGGGAUCACUCCUGUGAAUCACAGUCAUUGUCUUGAGCACUUUAGAAUGAGAGCUUCUUAAAAUCAGAAUGAGAAAAAUAAUCAAAACAUUAUUCACCACAUGGACAUUCAGAAGGAGAAGGAUUUAGUGUAGCUGACACUGAUGGAGUUCAAAAGAGCUGGAUCAGAUCUGUGCUGAAGGUUAGUGUUAGCUUAUUCACAGGUUUGUUAUGUCUGCCAUCUGCUUGUGUUACCUAACUUCUAAAAUAUUCUGCCUAAAAAUAAGUGUGUGCAUCUGAGUAAUCCCAAGGAAUAUAAAGGCAUUAUUCCUGUUUGGGAAGACUGGCAUGCAUGUAGUUCUUUCUAGGACCAAGGUUAGAAUAACCCUUUGAAUGGAGGCCUUGUCUUAUGUGUGGAGUUUAUCAUUCUCGGGACUAUAUAUAUAUAUGUACAUAAAUAUAAAAUAUAUAAUAUAAUAUAUAAAUAU
rnacentral:lncRNA from 1 species